GACAGAGGUCCCGAGCGUUAGGCGGAAUCACUGGGCUUAAAGCGUGUGUAGGCGGAUUUGUAAGUACCUUGUGAAAUCCCAUGGCUCAACCAUGGAACUGCUCGGUAUACUGCGAAUCUUGAGCCACUUAGGGGCUACCGGAACAAAUGGUGGAGCGGUGAAAUGCGUAGAUAUCAUUUGGAACGCCAAUGGUGAAAACAGGUAGCUGGGAGUGUGCUGACGCUGAGACACGAAAGCCAGGGGAGCGAACGGG
rnacentral:rRNA from 1 species